GAGAGUGAGAAGCAAAAAAUAGUGCCCAGAAUUGGUGGAAUUAGAACCAAAAGUAGGUAAUGACAAAGAGCCAAGAGUUUGUUUGGAGGCCGGAGUGAGCUUGACAGAACUAGAUGAAAUUGGCCACUGGGCACUGGGACCCAGAAAGGCCUCAUUGCCACAGAGUUGCAACAGAGUGUGGGGUCCCAUUAUCAGAAUCCUUUCUAUGGUGCAUCCAAUUGGCUAUGACUCUCCUAAGAACAGCGCUGCAGGAAAAUGCAAGUUCACAGGAUAAUGAAUGCACUGUUGCUUCUCUGCUGCUGACUUUUCCCACGAAUAAAACUUGUAUUUAUUUGUACUGCUGGUUCGGGCUGCCAUAAAAAGCACCACAGACGAUAUGGCUUACACCACAGAAACUCAUGUUCUCCCAAUCCUGGAAGCUGAAAGUCCAAGAUCAAAGUGUUGUCUGGGUUGGUUUCUUCCAAGACCUCUACUGUUGGCUUACAGAUGAUUGUAUUCAGUUCACAUGAUGUUCUUCUAUGAGUGCCUGUGUCGAUUUUCUGUUCUUAUAAAGAUAUCAGUCAGAUUAAAUGAUGGUUCACCCAAA
rnacentral:lncRNA from 1 species